rnacentral:rRNA from 1 species
AGAGUUUGAUCAUGGCUCAGGACGAACGCUGGCGGCGCGCCUAACACAUGCAAGUCGAACGGAGAUUACAGGCGGAAGUUUUCGGAUGGAAGCUUGUAAACUUAGUGGCGGACGGGUGAGUAACACGUGAGCAACCUGCCUAUCAGAGGGGGAUAACGAUUGGAAACGAUCGCUAAUACCGCAUGACAUAGCGGAACCGCAUGGUUUUGUUAUCAAAGAUUUUAUCGCUGAUAGAUGGGCUCGCGUCCGAUUAGAUAGUUGGUGGGGUAACGGCCUACCAAGUCGACGAUCGGUAGCCGGACUGAGAGGUCGAACGGCCACAUUGGGACUGAGACACGGCCCAGACUCCUACGGGAGGCAGCAGUGGGGGAUAUUGCACAAUGGGGGAAACCCUGAUGCAGCGACGCCGCGUGAGGGAAGACGGUCCUCUGGAUUGUAAACCUCUGUCUUCGGGGACGAAACGAGACGGUACCCGAGGAGGAAGCCACGGCUAACUACGUGCCAGCAGCCGCGGUAAUACGUAGGUGGCAAGCGUUGUCCGGAAUUACUGGGUGUAAGGGAAGCGUAGCGGGCAGGCA